rnacentral:lncRNA from 1 species
GAAGAACGGACGGACAAACGAACGGACGCACAGAACAGAAAACAUAAUGCCCCUCUACUAUCGUAGGUGGGGCAUAAAAAUAUAGGUCACCAAUGAGUUAAAAAAGAUAUUACAUUUCUAAUGCCAAAAAAUGGCAUUUUUGCACCAAAGGGAGAUAAUUUGGAGCUUUUUCAAUGAUAUAUACAUUUUAAAAGUCAUCUUGGGCCAA